CGGGAUGUGGCUCAGUUUGGUAGAGCACUGCGUUCGGGACGCAGGGGUCGCGUGUUCGAAUCACGUCAUCCCGACCA
rnacentral:tRNA from 1 species